AGCAGUCGCCGCGGGAAUACGUAGGGGGCAAGCGUUAUACGGAAUAACCGGGCGUAAAGGGUGCGCAGGUGGUUUAACAAGUUAGUGGUGAAAGGCAUAGGCUCAACCAAUGUAAGCCAUUAAAACUGUUUAACUUGAGUGCAGGAGAGGAAAGUGGAAUUCCUAGUGUAGCGGUGAAAUGCGUAGAUAUUAGGAGGAAUACCAGUGGCGAAGGCGACUUUCUGGACGAAAACUGACGCUGAGGCGCGAAAGCCAGGGGAGCGAACGGGAUUAGAUACCCGCGUAGUCCCUGUCUCUUAUACA
rnacentral:rRNA from 1 species